AACGAACGCUGGCGGCAGGCCUAACACAUGCAAGUCGAGCGAGGACUUCGGUCCUAGCGGCGGACGGGUGAGUAACGCAUGGGAACGUGCCCUUUGCUUCGGAAUAGCCCUGGGAAACUGGGAGUAAUACCGGAUGAGCCCUUUGGGGGAAAGAUUUAUCGGCGAAGGAUCGGCCCGCGUUGGAUUAGGUAGUUGGUGGGGUAAUGGCCUACCAAGCCGACGAUCCAUAGCUGGUUUGAGAGGAUGAUCAGCCACACUGGGACUGAGACACGGCCCAGACUCCUACGGGAGGCAGCAGUGGGGAAUCUUAGACAAUGGGGGAAACCCUGAUCUAGCCAUGCCGCGUGAGCGAUGAAGGCCUUAGGGUUGUAAAGCUCUUUCAGCUGGGAAGAUAAUGACGGUACCAGCAGAAGAAGCCCCGGCUAACUCCGU
rnacentral:rRNA from 1 species